UGUCCCAGUGGGGCCACCUUCCUUCCUGAUGGCUUCAGAGAAACCAUAAAGAAUGGGACUGUAGGUGGUAUUCCUGAGUACUUCCCUCCCAGGGAGUCCCAGCUUGCCGUCCCCACCUCCAUCUGCCUCGCCCAUUGGGUCCUCCUCUACCCUGCAGCCCCUCCYGCCCUCAAAGAGCAGCCAUGCGGAGCUCUGCCUCCCUCCAAGGGUGGCUGCUGGGAGGGUCCUGGCAACAUCGCCCUCCACCUGGACACCCCACUGAGGAGAACAGAAGACACAAGCUGCUGCUAGCAGAGGACUCUGAUUCUUCCUAUAAAAGAGGAGCCUUGAGAAUGUGCCCAAUCUACACACAUCCUCCAGGAUGCCCAGCAACAAUCUGGGACCAGAGAUCCCAAAGAAAAGAGGAAGAACAUCAAGAAUGGAGGUUCUGGCAGCUGUCAAACCUCAGAUGCAGGAAAGAUCUGGAGUGGUCAAAGAUGUUCUGAAGAUCUGAUGGUGAAGCUGGGGAAAGUCCCACUUCUGGACCCCCUGCCCUGUACCCUCCCUGGACAGGAAUAUUGAAGAACCUCAAGGCUGGUGAGGAAACAUGCUCAUAAAUUCAGUUGUUCCUUAAAAUAUUACCUCUUGGUAGUGUUUUAACAUUAGAUGGACUUCUGAUGGGUGCUAGGUUGUUCCACUGUUGGAACAUAUGGACAUCAUGAUCAUUAGCUUUGUUAUUAAUUACAAAUACUAGGAAACAAGGUGAAAUUCCAUCCACAAGGAAAAACAAGAGGGUCUAUUCACAUGCAGAAUGCUAUCUAUACAGCUGUUAAUGAAAAUAGGUCCAUGCAGGCUUGACAUGGCUAAGUCUCCAAAAUACACUGUCGAGUCAAGAAAACACAACUUGCAUGCAUGAUAUUACUUAUGGAAAAAAGAGAUAUCUCCAAACAAAGAGCUUUCAAGGGCUACAUAUUGUACUUAUGAGAUCUGAAAAACACACAUGAAAYUGAUCACAGCAGUUACCUCUGGUUGGGGGUAGACAUAACCAGAUGGAAGG